GGGGAGGGAAUGCAGUUUCAAAAACAGUCAGCUGCAGCCGUGUAGUACAUCCAUGAUCCAGGGUGUUCCACAGGCAUACGCCGGUAACACGUUUUAGAGCUUCUUGUUUCCACCAUACCAUCAUCUGCUGCUGAUCGAUGAACAUCCACCUCGCCAGCAAGGCCAGGAAAGCAGAUUAUGGCCACAAUCCAAUGUAAUGCAUAUCCAAGAAUGGUUUUGGUAUCCGAAAAAUUCAACACAAGUAAGGCAUUAUUUGGUGUAAAUAAGGACUCCAAUAUCAAUUUUGUUUCCUUGGUUACUUUUUGAAGUAGGAGUAUUAUCCGUCGACAUCU